GACGAACGCUGGCGGCGUGCUUAACACAUGCAAGUCGAACGAGAGCGUAGAGAAAGCUUGCUUUUUCUACAAUCUAGUGGCAAACGGGUGAGUAACGCGUAAACAACCUGCCCUACGGAUGGGGACAACAGCUGGAAACGGCUGCUAAUACCGAAUACGUUCCGAAAGUCGCAUGACUAUCGGAAGAAAGGAUGGCCUCUAUUUAUAAGCUAUCGCCGGAGGAGGGGUUUGCGUCUGAUUAGCUAGUUGGAGGGGUAACGGCCCACCAAGGCGACGAUCAGUAGCCAGUCUGAGAGGAUGAACGGCCACAUUGGAACUGAGACACGGUCCAGACUCCUACGGGAGGCAGCAGUGGGGAAUCUUCCGCAAUGGGCGAAAGCCUGACGGAGCAACGCCGCGUGAGUGAAGACGGCCUUCGGGUUGUAAAGCUCUGUUAUACGGGACGAAUAAUCUUGUGGUUAAUACCCAUGAGAAGUGACGGUACCGUAAGAGAAAGCCACGGCUAACUACGUG
rnacentral:rRNA from 1 species